AACGAACGCUGGCGGCAUGCCUAACACAUGCAAGUCGAACGAAGCCUUCGGGCUUAGUGGCGCACGGGUGCGUAACGCGUGGGAAUCUGCCCUUCGGUUCGGAACAACAGUUAGAAAUGACUGCUAAUACCGGAUGAUGACGUAAGUCCAAAGAUUUAUCGCCGAAGGAUGAGCCCGCGUAGGAUUAGCUAGUUGGUAAGGUAAAAGCUUACCAAGGCGACGAUCCUUAGCUGGUCUGAGAGGAUGAUCAGCCACACUGGGACUGAGAUACGGCCCAGACUCCUACGGGAGGCAGCAGUGGGGAAUAUUGGACAAUGGGGGGCAACCCUGAUCCAGCAAUGCCGCGUGAGUGAUGAAGGCCUUCGGGUUGUUAAAGGCUCUUUUGGUCGGGGACGAGUGAUGACGGUACCCGCAGAAUAAGCCCGGCUAACUUCGUGCCAGCAGCCG
rnacentral:rRNA from 1 species